UACGUAGGGUGCGAGCGUUGUCCGGAAUUAUUGGGCGUAAAGGGCUCGUAGGCGGUUUGUCGCGUCGGGAGUGAAAUCCACUGGCUUAACUGGUGGCUUGCUUUCGAUACGGGCAGACUGGAGGUAUGCAGGGGAGAACGGAAUUCCUGGUGUAGCGGUGAAAUGCGCAGAUAUCAGGAGGAACACCGGUGGCGAAAGCGGCUCACUGGACCUCUUCUGACGCUGAGGCACGAAAGCUAGGGUAGCGAACGGG
rnacentral:rRNA from 1 species